rnacentral:rRNA from 1 species
UACGAAGGGGGCUAGCGUUGCUCGGAAUCACUGGGCGUAAAGCGCGCGCAGGCGGCUAUCCAAGUCAGUGGUGAAAGCCCGGAGCUCAACUCCGGAACUGCCAUUGAAACUGUUUAGCUUGAGGAUGAGAGAGGUGAGUGGAAUUCCCAGUGUAGAGGUGAAAUUCGUAGAUAUUGGGAAGAACACCGGUGGCGAAGGCGGCUCACUGGCUCAUUACUGACGCUGAUGCACGAAGCUAGGGGAGCAAACAGG